rnacentral:rRNA from 1 species
UACGGAGGGGACUAGCGUUGUUCGGAAUUACUGGGCGUAAAGCGCACGUAGGCGGAUUUGUAAGUCAGGGGUGAAAUCCCGGGGCUCAACCUCGGAACCGCCUUUGAUACUGCAAAUCUCGAGUCCGGAAGAGGUGAGUGGAAUUCCUAGUGUAGAGGUGAAAUUCGUAGAUAUUAGGAAGAACACCAGUGGCGAAGGCGGCUCACUGGUCCGGUACUGACGCUGAGGUGCGAAAGCGUGGGGAGCAAACAGGG